rnacentral:lncRNA from 1 species
GUGACCAGGAAUACACAUUUUGAACAUAGGCCUUGGAACUUGCAUUGAAAUACACCAGUGGCUUUCCUCAUUCUCCAGUGUGUCAGUAUAUUGGACUUCUCAGACUCCAUGAUUACAAAGGCAGAAGAAGCUCUCCAGAUGUCUUCCAGUAACGUUGAAGUUUUUAUCAGAAUGUUGCAAGGAAACACCAAUUGGGUCACCUGGGAUGACCUUCAAUGACCUGAAGACAUUUACUGAAGGAGCUGUGUUAAGUUUUUUAACAUCUUCUAUUGAGUAAAAGUGAAAAGCAGCUUUUUACUUGGUUGAAACCAAUUGAGAAAGAAAUUCUAUCAAAUAUCAAGUAUGUGCAUGAACUUUUAAAAAGACAAUUUUAUUGACCUAUAUUGAACUUCAUAAGUUUUGCC